rnacentral:rRNA from 1 species
GUAGGGAAUAUUGCGCAAUGGACGAAAGUCUGACGCAGCGACGCCGCGUGAGUGAUGAAGGCCUUAGGGUCGUAAAGCUCUGUUGAAUGGGAAGAAAAAAAUGACGGUACCAUUCAAGGAAGGACCGGCUAACUUCGUGCCAGCAGCCGCGGUAAUACGAGGGGUCCUAGCGUUGUUCGGAAUCAUUGGGCGUAAAGGGUGUGUAGGUGGCCAUGUAAGUCAGGUGUGAAAGCCCCGUGCUCAACCCGGGAAGUGCACUUGAUACUGCGUGGCUUGAGUACCGAAGAGGGUAGUGGAAUUCCAGGUGUAGUGGUGAAAUACGUAGAUAUCUGGAGGAACACCGGUGGCGAAGGCGGCUACCUGGUCGAGUACUGACACUGAGACACGAAAGCAUGGGGAUCAAACAGGAUUAGAUACCCCGGUAGUCC